GGAAUUGUUCGCAAUGGGCGAAAGCCUGACGACGCAAUGCCGCGUGGAGGCCGAAGACCUUCGGGUCGUAAACUCCUGUCGAGCGGGAAGAACCGCGUCCGGGUUAACACCCUGGGCGCCUGACGGUACCGCCAGCGGAAGCCCCGCCUACCCCCGUCCCAGCAGCCGCGGUAAUACGGGGGGGGCAAGCGUUGUUCGGAUUUACUGGGCGUAAAGGGCUCGUAGGCGGCUGCCUAAGUCGGUUGUGAAAUCCCCCGGCUCAACCGGGGAAUUGCGUCCGAUACUGGGUGGCUUGAAGCCGGGAGAGGGAUGCGGAAUUCCAGGUGUAGCGGUGAAAUGCGUAGAUAUCUGGAGGAACACCCGUGGCGAAGGCGGCAUCCUGGACCGGUCUUGACGCUGAGGAGCGAAAGCUAGGGUAGCAAAC
rnacentral:rRNA from 1 species